rnacentral:lncRNA from 1 species
CUACAUAUAACUUACUACUAUGCACUCAUAAUCUAUUUAUGUAUUUAGCACCUUUAUGUCUUAAUUAGCAUUUGGGAUAUCACAGAUGUCACAAAUGGUAUCAGAGCAAUUACGCAGAUAUCCCUUACAACUGAGGCUAUUAGUAGAAAACUCUCUAUGAUAUUUAGGAAAAUAAGUCAUCUUUUCAAAAACUAAACCACAAACUUGUGUCUUCCUUUUCUUUCUGUAGGAAUGAUGCGAGGAUGACCUUUCGUAAAAGGUACCAAAAGACUCGAGGUCCAAGAUCAUCUGACCAGGGCCAAGUUUACCGAACUCUUUCGAGCUAUCCAGGGACUAACCAUAGCCAUAGGACAAAACCAAGCCAACCUUUGCCAACAUCCUGCCCCAGAAUAUCGACCAGCUGAAAGAUCU